rnacentral:rRNA from 1 species
UACGUAGGGUGCGAGCGUUGUCCGGAAUUAUUGGGCGUAAAGAGCUCGUAGGCGGUCUGUCGCGUCGGUCGUGAAAACUUGGGGCUUAACCCUGAGCUUGCGGUCGAUACGGGCAUGACUGGAGUUCGGCAGGGGAGGCUGGAAUUCCUGGUGUAGCGGUGAAAUGCGCAGAUAUCAGGAAGAACACCCGUGGCGAAGGCGGCUCUCUGGGACGGUACUGACGCUGAGACGCGAAAGCGUGGGGAGCGAACAGG